rnacentral:rRNA from 1 species
CGGAGGGAUCAUUACCGAGUUUACAACUCCCAAACCCCUGUGAACAUACCAAUUGUUGCCUCGGCGGAUCAGCCCGCUCCCGGUAAAACGGGACGGCCCGCCAGAGGACCCCUAAACUCUGUUUCUAUAUGUAACUUCUGAGUAAAACCAUAAAUAAAUCAAAACUUUCAACAACGGAUCUCUUGGUUCUGGCAUCGAUGAAGAACGCAGCAAAAUGCGAUAAGUAAUGUGAAUUGCAGAAUUCAGUGAAUCAUCGAAUCUUUGAACGCACAUUGCGCCCGCCAGUAUUCUGGCGGGCAUGCCUGUUCGAGCGUCAUUUCAACCCUCAAGCCCCCGGGUUUGGUGUUGGGGAUCGGCGAGCCCUUGCGGCAAGCCGGCCCCGAAAUCUAGUGGCGGUCUCGCUGCAGCUUCCAUUGCGUAGUAGUAAAACCCUCGCAACUGGUACGCGGCGCGGCCAAGCCGUUAAACCCCCAACUUCUGAAUGUUGACCUCGGAUCAGGUAGGAAUACCCGCUGAACUUAAGCAUAU